AAGUCGUAACAAGGUCUCCGUAGGUGAACCUGCGGAGGGAUCAUUAACACGUUUUAAAACACGUAUUAUUUCUUAUACCAACCAACCCGUGAACUACAUAAACUAACUAUUAAUACCCGACCUGGGAGUAGAGAGAUUGUCUCUGUGCACAUAGUGAUGGGUGCUGUAUUAAUCUUUACGGAUUGAUAUAGUGCUGUGCGUUUAGACUAAAAGGCUUUUUGACCUUUGAGGUCUCUCUCUUUCAGGCUUUAAUCUAGUAUUCCUUCCAUCACUGGAAGCCAAAACCCAAAACCACUUUCACCCCUUUAUAACCACUUGACUGAUAUCUCUUCAUGAUUUACAAUCUUUGUUGUAAAUCUGAACAGAACUAAAUCAAAUAUCUAAAGCACAACUCUUAGCAACGGAUAUCUUGGUUCUC
rnacentral:misc_RNA from 1 species